rnacentral:rRNA from 1 species
UACGAAGGGGGCUAGCGUUGCUCGGAAUGACUGGGCGUAAAGGGCGCGUAGGCGGUUUGGACAGUCAGGCGUGAAAUUCCCGGGCUUAACCUGGGGGCUGCGCUUGAUACAUCCAGGCUUGAGUGGGGAAGAGGGUCGUGGAAUUCCCAGUGUAGAGGUGAAAUUCGUAGAUAUUGGGAAGAACACCGGUGGGCGAAGGCGGCGACCUGGUCCUUUACUGACGCUGAGGCGCGAAAGCGUGGGGAGCAAACAGG